rnacentral:rRNA from 1 species
AUACAUGCAGUCGAGCGGACGGAUGGGAGCUUGCUCCCUGAAGUCAGCGGCGGACGGGUGAGUAACACGUGGGCAACCUGCCUGUAAGACUGGGAUAACUUCGGGAAACCGGAGCUAAUACCGGAUAAUGCACAGCCUCUCAUGAGGCUAUGCUGAAAGAUGGUUUCGGCUAUCACUUACAGAUGGGCCCGCGGCGCAUUAGCUAGUUGGUGAGGUAACGGCUCACCAAGGCAACGAUGCGUAGCCGACCUGAGAGGGUGAUCGGCCACACUGGGACUGAGACACGGCCCAGACUCCUACGGGAGGCAGCAGUAGGGAAUCUUCCGCAAUGGACGAAAGUCUGACGGAGCAACGCCGCGUGAGUGAUGAAGGUUUUCGGAUCGUAAAACUCUGUUGUCAGGGAAGAACAAGUGCCGGAGUAACUGCCGGCACCUUGACGGUACCUGACCAGAAAGCCACGGCUAACUACGUGCCAGCAGCCGCGGUAAUACGU